rnacentral:rRNA from 1 species
AUUGAACGCUGGCGGCAGGCUUAACACAUGCAAGUCGAGCGGAGUGAUGGUGCUUGCACUAUCACUUAGCGGCGGACGGGUGAGUAAUGCUUAGGAAUCUGCCUAUUAGUGGGGGACAGCAUCUCGAAAGGGAUGCUAAUACCGCAUACGUCCUACGGGAGAAAGCAGGGGAUCACUUGUGACCUUGCGUUAAUAGAUGAGCCUAAGUCGGAUUAGCUAGUUGGUGGGGUAAAGGCCUACCAAGGCGACGAUCUGUAGCGGGUCUGAGAGGAUGAUCCGCCACACUGGGACUGAGACACGGCCCAGACUCCUACGGGAGGCAGCAGUGGGGAAUAUUGGACAAUGGGGGGAACCCUGAUCCAGCCAUGCCGCGUGUGUGAAGAAGGCCUUAUGGUUGUAAAGCACUUUAAGCGAGGAGGAGGCUCUUUUGGUUAAUACCCAAGAUGAGUGGACGUUACUCGCAGAAUAAGCACCGGCUAACUCUGUGCCAGCCGCCGCAGUAA